UACAGAGGGGGCAAGCGUUGUUCGGAAUUACUGGGCGUAAAGGGCGCGUAGGCGGCUUAACAAGUCACUUGUGAAAUCUCCGGGCUUAACUCGGAACGGCCAAGUGAAACUGUCAAGCUAGAGUGCAGAAGGGGCAAUCGGGAAUUCUUGGUGUAGCGGUGAAAUGCGUAGAUAUCAAGAGGAACACCUGAGGUGAAGACGGGUUGCUGGGCUGACACUGACGCUGAGGCGCGAAAGCCAGGGGAGCAAACGGG
rnacentral:rRNA from 1 species